AGCACGGGAGCAAUCCUGGUGGCGAGUGGCGAACGGGUGAGUAAUGUAUCGGAACGUACCUUUCAGUGGGGGAUAACGUAGCGAAAGUUACGCUAAUACCGCAUAUUCUGUGAGCAGGAAAGCAGGGGAUCGCAAGACCUUGCGCUGAUUGAGCGGCCGAUAUCAGAUUAGCUAGUUGGUGAGGUAAAGGCUCACCAAGGCGACGAUCUGUAGCGGGUCUGAGAGGAUGAUCCGCCACACUGGAACUGAGACACGGUCCAGACUCCUACGGGAGGCAGCAGUGGGGAAUUUUGGACAAUGGGGCAACCCUGAUCCAGCCAUGCCGCGUGAGUGAAGAAGGCCUUCGGGUUGUAAAGCUCUUUCAGCCGGGAAGAAAUCACAUGGGUUAAUACCCUGUGUGGAUGACGGUACCGGAAUAAGAAGCACCGGCUAACUACGUGCCAGCAGCCGCGGUAAUACGUAGGGUGCGAGCGUUAAUCGGAAUUACUGGGCGUAAAGCGUGCGCAGGCGGUUUGUUAAGAUAGGCGUGAAAUCCCCGGGCUCAACCUGGGAACUGCGUUUAUGACUGGCAGGCUAGAGUAUGGCAGAGGGGGGUGGAAUUCCACGUGUAGCAGUGAAAUGCGUAGAGAUGUGGAGGAACACCGAUGGCGAAGGCAGCCCCCUGGGCCAAUACUGACGCUCAUGCA
rnacentral:rRNA from 1 species